UGUGAGCCGCUGUGCCCAGGCCAAUCCCAGAGAUUUUGAAGAUGAUUUCUCGAUACGAGUUUCACGAAGACUUGAAAAGAAUGUGUCCUCUGUUGUUGGAUGGAGUGUCCUUGAAAUGUUCAUUAGCCUUCUAGCUCCAUUCAGAAGAGCCUCCGAAGUAGAGACCAGAAAUCCUUCUAGUGGGCUGUGCUUUGAGCAGUACUGCUUGUUGACUGCUUUACUUGGAAGGAGAGAUCGACUGAGGUAAGGCUCUUACUAAUGCACGUGCUUUGCUAAUGGUUUGGCCAGAUGAUCAAAAAUGUGGAAGGGGUAAGAUUCAAGGAUUGGUGACAAGGAAGUUUAGAAUAACAGAGAUGUGGAUGGGCCUCCUAGAAUGACCAAAGAAUAUGAGAAUAUUUAUGUUUCAUGUGAACAUUCAUCAAGCUCCUAUUGGUAGUCAGGUAGACAGGUAGACAAGGUGGUCUACUUUGAGGAUGCUGAUUAAUCUCUUCCUCCAGUGACGCAGGGUUUGCUCAGUGGGCUCAUGGACAGAGUGGCCCUGAUGGCUCAGUGGAGGGCUUGGUAUAGGCUUAGCCACAUGGACUCACCAAGACUAACCUGGUUACAGCCGUUGUUGAAUGCCCAACAUUCUACAGCAGAAACCAACCCUGAGCUCCUGACUUGGUGCCAUACCGUGGGGGGACCAACCUGCUGCUUCAGGCCCGGGAAAGAAGUGGACAAGACUCUGCUCUCUUCAUGGAACCGAGUAUUCUAAGGACACAGCCAAGUCAGGAGACUACACCCCUAGUAUAAUAAGUCCUGUGGCUGUACUGAGAAGAGGUCCUGACUCAGAACUGGAGGACAUCAUGGAAGGCUUCCUGGAGGAAGUGCCAUCUAGGCUGAAACCUAAAGGAUGAGUAGAACUAACCAGAUGAAAAGCACUGGAUUUGACUCAUCCCUGCAUCCCCCGAGCACCUCGUGGGUGCCGUAAAGGCAGCUGGGUUGAUGAUGACUGAGUGAAGGAGCGCCUGAGUGGAUGAGCCACUGAGUGAAUGAACUGGAGUUCAUCUUCCACGUGGUCCUCAGCAUCCACUCUAGAAGCCAAAGCCAAGCCUGAGGGAUCUAAAGCCUUGGGACUUCUGGAUCUGCAAGUGGUCCCUGUUUUGGUAGCUAUUGACUGACGAGGGGCUCUUCGGUAAGUUCUGGGGUGGCAGUGGAGGUGAUGAUGGGAGGGUGUUACAGGGCUCCACAGGCUCUUACAGGGCUCGGGAGCUUAUUUAAGGGAACACCUUGAUUGUCCAUGUGUCGUGGGCCAGAGAAGAAAGGCAGCACUGUGGAUCUUCUGGGAGGAAAGGAGAGGCGUCGAUUUCUGACUCCAGUUUUCUAUGAUCAGCACAGACUCUGUCCCACCUCCUCCCUACAGAGCUUCUGGAUCCUGGAGGAUGGAGAAUAGGCUAAAUUGCACAGGCCAGCUCCAGUCCAUUGGCAGGGCUGCCUAGAACAUGGCUGUGAUGAUCCCAAAGCUCAAUAGCAGAGAACCCUGUGGGGUGCUAGGAGUGUCUGCCAGGGUGCCGCAGGGAAAGGGGAGCAUGUGUGUAGAUGUAGAAAGCAUCUCUGCCAUCCCCUCCCCUAAAGAAUAUAUAACAUGGCCAUGCAGAAAAACACUUGUGAAAGGAGCUGCUGCCCUCAGGACAGCGUGUCAUUGAAAUGGGGGCUGAGCAACCCGUCAGAAGAGUGGGGAGGAGGGACCAUCCUCCAGCCCCUUCCCAGCUCUCUUCUGGAGCCAUAAGCCACAACACUGUCUAUGAAAAAGCUGAGGCCUAGAGCAGAAGGAGUGCAAAAUCCCAGCUACUGCAGGCCUACGCCCAGUGGUUCUCAAAGUGUUGUCCUCAGUCUAGCAGCAUCAGUGUCACCUGAAAACUGGUUAGACAUCCAGGUUCUCAGUUGUUAUCCAGCUCUAGCAGAUGGGAAACGCUGGGGGCGGGACCAGCCAUCUGUGUUUAACAAGCCCCACAGGUGACUGCUGUAGCCUUGAGUGAGGACCUCGGCCAAAAAGAAGGCUCCUACCGUGGCUGUUUGCUGAUGGUCUUCGCAGAGCCUGCUGUCUUUGAGCUUCCUGAGAGAGGGACACUACCCUCGCUUAGCCUGGCAGUGUUGCCCAGGAGGAGGCAGUGGAGUUAAGAAGCCUGGGUCUGAGCUCCUCAGCUGUGCAGACAACUCCUACUUGUUCUUCAACGCUCAACUUUAAGUUCAGUCACCACCUGCAGAAGUCUUCUCCAAAACCUCCCCACCUGGCUGACUAAGGGGCUGGCUUUAUGCUCUUGCAGUACUCAUGCUUCCUACUGUCACAGUUCUGACCACACCGUGGGAAAACGUCUCUAACUAGAGACCUGUCUUGCCUCUUGUGCCUGUAGUACGGGAUGGGUGCCCAGUGUGUGUUGAUUGUAUGAAUCAAUCUCUGUGACUCCAGAGUUCCUUUCUUCAGGAGAUUAGACAUCACCCCUGCAAUCAACAAUGCAAGCCACUGCUGUUUCCUCCAUCCUGAGCAUGAGGAACCUAUCCAGUUUCUCUCUCAGAUGCCAGGGCCAUGAGGCAAGUCCAGCCUUGGCCUAGAACCAAAGAUGGAAACAAAAAGGGGCCAGACUGUGUUGCCUUCUUGAGCCUGGUCUGACUCCUGAGUGGAAGUCUGAUUCCAGGUACAUGAGAUAAGCACUAAUACCUCCAGUUUGCAGAUUAAGAGACUGAGGUCCUGAAGAGGUUAAAGAACUUGGCUCAAGUCACAUAGCUGGUGAGCAGCAAGAUACAAGAAUCAACCCAAGUCCAGGGGGCUGUGUGCCGUUUACACUUCACAUCUGUGCUGCCAGGGCUGUAGCUAUAAAAGCUUGAAAACCAUUACUCUGAGAAUCUCUCUGUUGGGAAAAUGAGUCCCUUCAACUCUAGUUGUUGCCACUGGGAUGCUAACAGAAAGCAAAGUCUCAGAGGAAAGAUGUGGCAUUCCUGAGUGUCUUCCAUGUACCAGGACUUCUAUUUGCUAGCCACUUUAUGUUCCUCAUCCCAUCCUUCUGUGAGGGACAUACUUUUCAGAUGAGAAACGUAAGCUCCGCGAAGCUAAGGGGCCGGACUGAGGUCCCACAGCGAGAGUGUGGAGGAGCCAGGAUCCGAACCCCAUCGCCAGCCCUUGCCAGUUCCAUGAUUCCGGUGCCAGCGCUCGCCUGACCUCCAGGGCUGUCAUGGUGGGAAGGGACUGGAGGGCAUCUGCUGGGCAAAGGAAAGAGACAAACAUCAUCCCAGAGCCUGUCUUCCCUGGGCAAUACCCGGGCCACUCCAGACAUGGCGUCUUUAGCCCUUCCUUGGUCACUGGCCCCCAGGUGAAGAGAGCAUUUUUCUCUGACUCAAGUUCUUGCCUCUGGAUUUGCCAAGCUCCUAUGACAGUCUUCGCCCUUCUGAAGCUCUCUCAGGCUCCCCUUCCAGAAAUCCCGCAGGUUCCACCGACCUCUCUGAGAGCACAGGCGAGUGGUUGAACGGUGGGCUUUAGAGACGGCGCGGCACCAGAGUCCUGUACUGGCUGUGUGAUCCUGAACCUCCUCACUGAGAUUCUCAUCUGCAAGAUGGAGA
rnacentral:lncRNA from 1 species